rnacentral:rRNA from 1 species
CCAGCAGCUGCGGUAAUUCCAGCUCCAAUAGCGUAUAUUUAAGUUGCUGCAGUUAAAAAGCUCGUAGUCGGUUUUCGGGCGGGUUGCGCCGGUCUGCCUUUGGUAUGCACUGGCGUGACCCGCUUUUCUGCCGGGGACGUGCUGCUGGGCUUUACUGUCCGGCACACGGAGUCGGCGAUGUUACCUUGAGUAAAAUGGAGUGUUCAAAGCAGGCAUACGCUCUGAACAUAUUAGCAUGGAAUAACGAUAUAGGACUCUGGCCUAUUCGUUGGUCUGUGGGACUGGAGUAACGACCAAUGGGGGCAGUCGGGGGCAUUCGUAUUUCGUUGUCAGAGGUGAAAUUCUUGGAUUUACGAAAGACGAACUGCUGCGAAAGCGUUUGCCAAGGAUGCUUUCGUCGAUCAAGAACGAAAGU